GUGAGCCCAGAGCGCAUGCGCAUUGCCCUGGGUGGUCUAGGAAGAACCAGAGCACCACGAAGCACUUGGUGGGAGAGCUUCACAGGCCCCACACCGCCGGAAGUGCUGUGUCUCACUGAUCAGAGCUCACAGGUUCUGCUGAACUGGUUGCCCAGCAAGUCUCUGGAACCCCUCUCCGAUCUCCACUUGGAUUACAUCUGUCUCCCAGUGCUUAGCGUAUAAGCACAUCACUUUAAGGCACUUUUUACCUGGGCUCUGGAGGCCAAGCUCAGAUCCUCACACUUUCAUGGAAAGAACUUAUACCACUUUCCCCUGUCCUUUCUUGUAGACCGAAGGAGUAUCACUGUUGAUAGGUAGGGAAUUUUAUGCUUGGGAAGUUCUAGAUUAGUAAGACAAGUGGUCAAGCAAAGAACUUCGUUUCUGAGGUGCUCUGCAUGCAGACGAUAAAGGGUAUUUGAGAAUUAGGAGGAAUAAAGUUUAGAUCAUUCUAGAACAGCAGAUCUAAGCUCCACAAAGCGGCUGCGAGCCUGCAGGUGGUACUACAGCACUUCUGUUCCUAGAUUUGGGAGUAUUUGCAUCCGACUAGAACCAAGGAAGAAAACAGUACAUGGAUUACACCAUCGCCAUGAUAAAUAGACAAGCCCCUUUGGUAACCGGAAGCCAUGUGGUUGGGAGAAAUAAAACCAGACUUAGAAUCAGUCAUGGGCUCUGCGGGAAGAACAGGUCUCUUCACUGAACUCUGGGGAAAUGUUUGUGUAUUAUAAACACUUACUCAGUGCCUUUGGAAAAACCUGGAUUAAAGAGAUAUGUUCUUUAA